rnacentral:rRNA from 1 species
UACGUAGGGGGCAAGCGUUGUCCGGAAUCAUUGGGCGUAAAGCGCGUGUAGGCGGCCCGGUAAGUCCGCUGUGAAAGUCCAGGGCUCAACCCUGGGAUGCCGGUGGAUACUGUCGGGCUCGAGUCCGGAAGAGGCGAGUGGAAUUCCUGGUGUAGCGGUGAAAUGCGCAGAUAUCAGGAGGAACACCAAUGGCGAAGGCGGGACUCUGGGCCGAUACUGACGCUGAGGAGCGAAGGCGUGGGGAGCGAACAGG